UGACGUCAGGUGACCCACCCACCUCAGCCUCCCAAAGUGCUGGGAUUACAGGCAUGAGCCACUGUGCCCGGCCCAGGGACUAUUAUUAAGCCCCUUUUACACAUGAGGAACAGAGAGGCUGAGUAACCUGUCCAAGGUCACACCACAAGCUAGUGGGGGAGGCCAACUUUGAACCCUGGUCUUUGGCCCCAGAGCCUGUGCUCCAUUUUUCCAUGGUGACCUAUGGUGACCUCUGCCCUACAGAAAGACACCUGCUUCUUCCAACCUGGUAGUGACUGUCUCAGUGCAGGGUACUGGAAAGGCACAGUUGUCUUGCAGAGAAGUUCUAGUUUUAAAAUACCCAUAAAAAGGACAAAUACCUUUUGCAUUAUGAAUUAUGAUGACAAAUAACAUGUUACCAGUCAGGCCAGCUCUAGUAAGGAAGAAGUUUCUGCCCGAUAAAGUGGAAAGAGACUGCCUGGGAAGGGGCUUAGAUCCCCCAGCCACCUCUGGGUCAAAGUCGGCCUCAGUUAGGAAGCCAGGGCCAUUGCUGCGGCCCCAACACCGUUUUCUCUGUGGCAGAGUCAGGCAUACAGCAGGCGCUCAUAAAUGCUCGCAAGUGAAGAGAAGGAACAGGGCUGCCUCCUACCCUGGUGGUAGGGAAGGAGGACCGGGUGGGCUCCUCACUCAGCCCUCAGGGGAUUCAGCCUGGCUGGGCGCAAAGACACGUAGGUCCGAGCAAGGCGGCGGCCUCCCCGGGGCUGUGCACUCUUGCAGGCGGCUGUGUUUCCUGAGGAUGUGGUCACCAGUCCCGGUGAGCCCGAUAGCCAUCGGCAAGUGUUGUGUUGUAAUGAGGUGCAUGCGGCAACCAUUCCCAGGUGGUCCCAGGGCCAGACAAAGGCCAGCCUCACCGUAAGGAUGUUAAAUGCCAGGGCAUGUUUCUGAAGGUGCCAUCUCAGGCAGCCUUGGAGAGCCAGGGCUGAGCUCUCUGGGCUUGGUGGAGACAGCAGAACCAGGCUCAUCAUCCCUUCAGGACCAGACAUCAUUUCCAGAUGCCGUAGGUGGGGCCAGGACCAUCUAAACAUUACAUGUAGGGUUGUCCAUUUCAGAUGACUCCGAUUUGACCAUUCAGAGGGUUUGCCUGGAGUAUAGCUUGGGUCUCCCAAUCCUCUCCCUGCUCCUGGCCAAGCAGGCUGAUGGGUGCCCACCAUGCACCACCCAUCCUGGGAAGGCAGGCUGCCCAAGGACCUGCCCUGGCACCUGGCUGGUGAAUGUUCCUUAUUUCCAGCCUGCCAGUGCCCCUCACCGGAUUACACACAUGUGCUGAGUAACGACAGGUGUCAGGACUCUUCUAGGAGCUGAGGAGACACAACAGAAGGAAUCCCAUCUGUGAAGCUCUAGAGGGGAAAUCAACCAAAUAAAGAAGUAAAAUACAUAGUGCAUUCAAUAGUGACCAGCACUGUGGAAAAUAAAAGCGGGGACGGCAGUAGAGGGAGUCCUGGGAGUGAUUGGCAGUGUUGAGUAGGAUGAUGUUGAAAGCCUUGCACAGGGUGGACAGUCAAGUGAGACCCAAAGUGGGUGAGGGACUGAGCCCUGGGGUGUCAGGGAACAGAAACAGCCAGGAGACAGGCAGAAACAGGCAGAGGAGAGGACUGGAGGCAGAAGGUGGGGCCAGAGAGGUGAGGGGCCGAGCAGAGGAGGGCAGCCGAGGGCAGCCGUUUGGCUGCUGUCCAAAGCAGAGAUGGAGGGGCCAGGUCAGGAGCAGCAAGCCCAGGAGGAGGCUCCUGUAGCUCUGGGGUUGGAGUGGAUGGGUAGGUUGUGAAGACGGAGCUAGCCAGCCCAUCAGGACUGGGUGUUAUGGGAAGAGUCGAGGAUGACUCCAAGGGUCUGGAUUUGAGCAACCAAAAGGAUGGAGCUGCUAGUGAGUGAGGUGGGGAAGACAGGGAGAAGAGUCCAGACCCCUUGUGCCUGGGAAAGUUGAGGGAGCAGAGGGGCGAACAGAAGAGCAUCUGGGGAGAGGUUCGGAGGUUCAUUUCGAGCCAGGAUCACUCGUCCUGCACAGGUCCCAGUGGUUGUCAUUUAGAAGGUUUAGAAACGCUUGAGGAAAAGCCAGUGUCAAAUCAUUAUUUAAGAACCUCUCUGGCAGACACUUGGCUCACACCUGUAAUCCCAGCACUUUGGGAGUCCAAGGCAGGGAGAUCACUUGAGGCCAGUGGUUCGAGCCCAGCCUGGGCAACACAGAAGGACCCCAUCUCUACAAAAAAAAAAAGAACCUUUCUUGGAACCCCGCCUUGGAAAGUUUGGUGUUUGCUCUAGGGAGUUUUUAUAAAAGGCAUUGGUCAGCCUCGAGGGUGGCAGCACCCUAUAGGUUGUGAUCUCAUUUAAUCACAGGACAGGCUAACAGUUGGGGGUGCCAGCCGCCCCAUGUGAGCUGGGGACAGCCUCUUCAGGACGGUGCUGGGCUGUGUGACCCGCAGACACUUGAGGAACCCCCUGUGGUGGUCAUCCCUCAUUCGGAUCCUUCCCACCUGGGGUGUCUCCUUUGCUGAGAGCUCCCAAGGAGCUGAAACAAAUCGCCUGGGCCCCAGAGGCAUUGCUGAGCAGCCCUGCUGGUCAGAGCAGCUGGGGAGGCUCGAUGGGCCUUACAGCCAGCCCACACCAGAAGCCAGCCCGCCCUGGCCUAGGCCCACGCAUUCCCAGACCAGUGUGCACAGAGGGAAGGAGUCUUUACAUGGACCCGCCUAUGCCUGAGGUCCGGCCCCUCUGGGACAGGAUCUGCAGGCUCUGGUGCUGCUCCUCAGGGUCCCACCAGAACUCAUGGCCACCAACAGCCAGGACCCCUCGGCUCAAGUGCCCAGCCCAGAGGGAGGCAGGGGGCAGGAGGACAGGAGGCACAGGACUCAGGUGCUGCUGGGGCACCUUCAGGGCUAUGAUGCAGAUGAGAUGUGCCCAGGUUAUGGGAACCCUGUUCAUGUCGCACUUUUCCCACCUCGGGGGAAGCAUGUGGGGUAAACAGGCAGUGACGUCUCAAGCAGCCCCUCAAACCUCAGCUCCAUGUCCUGUCCUCGGGUGGCCACUUGUGCACUGCCAGGGAGGAGAACUGUGCCACUGGCCCAUCCUUGAGGACAGGCCCCUGUUUGACUAGAAGGCACGCCACCUGUCCCUUAUGUCCCAGCACCUCGGGAGGCUGAGGCGGGUCGAUCACUUGAGCUCAGGAGUUCAAGACCAGCCUGGCCAACAUGGCAAAACCCCAUCUCUACUAAAAAUACAAAAAUGAGCUGGGUGUGGUGGUGCGUGCCUGUCAUCCCAGCUACUCGGGAGGCUGAGGCAGGAGAAUUGCUUGAACCUGGGAGGCGGAGGUUGCAGUGAGCCGAGAUUGCGCCCCUGCACUCCAGCCUGGGCGACAGAAUGAGACUCCAUCUCAAAAAAAAAACAAAACAAAACAAAAAAAGAAUGGGCAGAAAGCACUCCUGUGCCCCAGGGUUGCCAUUGGUUGGUACUGAGGUGUCACAGUUCUGCUCCGAGGAGGAGAAACAGCCCAGGGAGAAUGUUUUCCUCCUGGACAGCUGCCCAUGCCAGGGUUGGACUGUCGGCUUCCAGCAGAACCCUGCCCCCGCCCCCCCCAUCACCUCAGGGCCACUCCAGUCCUGGGCCUGGCCACUUGGGCAGUGGAAACACUCACCGCUGGCAAGUCUGGGGGCAUAGAGUGCUCUGGCGCAGGUCGUGGCGUCAGACCUCAUUAAGGCAAAGGGCAGGGGAGAGAGACCCUUGGACCUGCCUCUUCUCUUGAUGUCCAGCAGUUGCCAUUUUCUGGCAACCACAAGAGUCACCCUGGCCUUGCUCAGAGGAGAGACAACCAGCUGUGUUGGUCUGGGGCCCCCUGUGGGGCAGGAUUGUAAAAUGGGCGUUGUUUUCCCUGCAGAGCAGGCACAGCCUGUGCCCUGGGAGAACUGCAGGGAGUUGUUCGGGCCCAGCAAGCAGGCGGCUCUCUUCACUCUUGCCCAACUGAGGGUCCAUGCAAGAAACCCAGCACCCCGGGUCUGCCCUCUGAGAUCCCACCUGGGUUCCUGGACAUCCCUGCAGCCUGCAUCUGGGCAGGGGGCCAGCUGGUGUGAUUGGAGGGCUACUUCCAGGAGCCCAGAAGAACUGCCCGUGGCUCUCCUGAACCAGCUUCUGUUUCACAGUUAGACAUUUCACCAUGUUGUCCUUCCUGCAUUGUUUUUUUCUGUCCCUUUCGCUGGCUUUACUGUGACUUCAUUGUUGUUGAAGAGAGAGCCAGGGUGUCAGACUCCAUGUGUUAUUCAGAGUUUGGACCCUGCCUCUUCCAACAAUGAGAUUACGUUGUGCCAUGAACCGGCGAGGGUUGAGAAAAAUGGCCCGAACUGCACAGUCGGGGCGUGCCUUCGGAAAUCACUGCCUGAGUCGUUUCUGACACCAUCGCUUCCCCCAAGUCUCCUCCUAAUGACACCACCUACUUACCUGUGGUGGGCAGUUUGGUUGGAUUUAUUCCAACGGGCUCUCUGCACUUAGCAGUUGAGAAAGAUAUUUGUCAUCUUGCUAUAAAACAUCAAACGCAUCAUGAUCUAAACGAUUGUGACAGCUGAGAGUUCAACCACAGUCUAAAAUUUUAGCAUUAUUUAUGAUGCUUAGAGGCUUGGUGCCUACAGUAUCUUCUUAAUCCAGUCUAAAUCUGGAGCGCUGUCUCCCGGGCCUGCCCCCGUGUCUCCCCUGACUGUUAAUAACAGCUCCUCCAGGCGCCCUGUCUGCCGACACAAAAUCCAUCUGAACCCCUGCAUCUCAUGUGGCUGUUAAAAAUUGACGUUUCUAUAUUGAUGCAACUGGCUCCUGCCAAAUACUUGGGGACAAAUAAAAGUGGCUGAACUUCGAGACAAGCAGAGAACCAUUUGUUCAUGGAAUUGCCAGCCAAUUGAUGGAGGUAGUUAAACAAGUUAUCAUUUAGAAGAAUCUUGAAAGGAAAAAGUUGACUGUUUUGAGACACUAACAUUCAGAGUAGUGUGCAGGGCCAGGCGACACAGCCUUUCCGAGGACUGGAGCCCUGUGGUCGCGGGUGGUGUGUCUCUUCUUCAGGCUUCCAGGCCGUGUUCUCAGAGAGCCCCACUCACUUUGAUUCUCCCGUGGCCCCUGGAGCACUGGCUGCUCCGCCUGGUUGCUGCUCCCCUUCCGUGCCAGCUUCUCUGGAUUUCCCACUUGUUCUUUCCUCCUCCUCCAGGAAGUCUUCCAUCAAACCCUGCGGCUUCUGCCUUGUUGGACUUUAACGCUCUCGUAGUUAAGGAAGAUCGCCCUUCUCCCCGUGGACUAGGGGCCUGCCUUGCUAGUGCUGUGAGUGAGGCAUCACGUGGCUGGUGCUCCGACCCAGUGAACCAGCCCCAGGGGCCUCUCUUCACACCCAGAGAGCUGGGCGUGCUGGCUCUCUCCGACCGAUUCCCUUCCUGGCCCUCCCGGGAGGCAGAGGUGGGCAGUGACCCCAGGAGCACUGACUCAGUUCUGGCUCAGUGCCCGUGAGGUGAUUGCUUUAGACCAGCAGCAAGCGUGGGAAGAUGGAGGAGGUAAUAACAUUGAUUUUCCCAUAAAGGUGGAAUUUGUGGUGAGAGGACCUUCCUGGCAGUACCUAACCGUCUUCUUCCCCCAGCCCCUCUGCCCCUGCAGGGGGAGUGGGAUGGGUCUCUCCGGUGGGGCCUGCUGGGCAGGAACUUGGCUCAUAGCCCAUGCAACCUUGCAGUCCAGGCGGGACUGGAGCCCUCAGACCAGGCCCAUCAUGGUGAGGAAGGAGCACCCCUGUACUGGGACAUCGGGAGAUGCUGAGGACGGCUCCUGCCUGCCUCCUAGGCAGGGCAUGGGGCCUGCUGGGAAGGCUGCCUUGCAGCUGCCCGUACCCUUCCCUGCUCACGGCUCCUCCAGCAGCCGCCUGCACCCUUCCUUGCUCACCGUUUCUUGGAAGCAGUGCGCCUCCCCCACGCCCCAACCUUCACCCAGUGUUUACAGCCCUGGGAAGGCCGAAGACCUGCUGAGAGCCUGGAGGGCACCCGCUGGCCUCAGACUCAUCUGAUCAUCCCAGUGACCAAUCCGGGGACGCCACGGGAGUGUGGGUUGGGCUGCACAGCCUCUGCCCAUGGCCCUGGGAGGUUCUGACCCCCAAUCCUGUCGUGAUUGAGAACUGAGGGCCAUACGAGCAUCAGCAGAUUCUCACACAGUGCCCAGAGGACAACAGCCAAAGCGUGGCUGUCACUCCCACUUUACAAGCGCAGCACCUGAGACCAGAGAGGUGUACUGCAGGGCCCAGGGACCCCAGCACCAGGGCAGGCCCUGCUGGGACCGAACGAGGGGGUUUGGUUCUGGAGGGGCCGUUGUCCCCAGCUGGACCUGCCCCAGUUGUUCUUCGCUCUGGGCUCGGCACCCCUCACCUCCUGGCACCUGUCCCUGCCGAGGGGCCCAGGCAGCCAGAAAUGACAGGGAGGCAGCUGAUGAGUCACUCUCUGGGGCCUCAGCCGGGCCUCCAGCUUCUGUUUUCCAUCAUGUUAAUUACAUUUAUUAUUCAUCUACUGCUAAAACUGGCUCUGGGUCCUCCAUUUUCCAAGCCCUUAGGUUGUGUCCCAGCUGAGGCUCCCUGUGGCUUUGAGUGGGGAUCAGACGCCUGCCCAGCCGAGGGGCCUUUGGGUUUGGAAAUGAAGAAAAAGGAUCCCACCCUGGUGGCUUUUCGCGCAGCCGCGGGUGGCCAGGCCUUUGCUCUCCUCUGCCUGGAGAUGCCGGAUGGAUGAGGGAGCCACAGUCUAGGCUGUGUUCUCUGCUGCCUGUUGCAUCCCUCGUCUUCCUCUGGCAUCGGAUUCAGGCUCACGCUUUGAUCUUUCCCGAGUCCCUGGGCAUGGAGGCUGCCGUCUAUCCGGGUGCCUUCCCUCCAGGCCAUCCUCAGGGGUCUGUACCUGCCCCCUCCACCCUCCUCCCCCAACCUUAACAUCUGACUGCUCUGUCUCAGGCCUUCACUUCCAGAAUAGGGAGGGUCAGGGACCGAGGAGGGCUGGACCACCCGUGUGAUGUGCCAGGCUUCUGCUGCUCCACCUGGCUGGGUUCUGGCCAUGUUCCCAAGGCCCAGUGACCACCCAAAGGACAUGACCUUUCCCAGCUGCUUUGGACACCCUGGGUAGCAGCUUUCUCCCCUGGCUGAAUGGGGUUGCAUUGUACUGUCCUUCCCUCAUUCACAAUAAAGUUUCCAUUUCUGUAAAGUUCA